AUUGAACGCUGGCGGCAGGCCUAACACAUGCAAGUCGAAUGGUAACAGGAAACAGCUUGCUGUUUCGCUGACGAGUGGCGGACGGGUGAGUAAUGUCUGGGAAACUGCCUGAUGGAGGGGGGGAUUACUUGGAAAGGCUGACGAUAACACCUCAUGUGGCCAACGCGAAAAAGGGGGGCAUCUUGGGCCCUUGCGCGAUUGAAUGCGCCGAUGGCGGAUUAGCUAGUUGGCGGGGUAAAGGCCCACCGAGGCGACGAUCCCUAGCUGGUCUGAGAGGAUGACCAGCCACACUGGAACUGAGACACGGUCCAGACUCCUACGGGAGGCAGCAGUGGGGAAUAUUGCACAAUGGGCGCAAGCCUGAUGCAGCCAUGCCGCGUGUAUGAAGAAGGCCUUCGGGUUGUAAAGUACUUUCAGCGGGGAAGAAGGGAGUCAAGUUAAUACCUUGCCUCAUUGACGUUACCCGAAGAAGAAGCACCGGCUAACUCCGUG
rnacentral:rRNA from 1 species